CUCCGAAACUCUUUUACCCUCAAAGGCUCGAACAAAAGAAAGUCGGUUUCUUUCGCUUUUAGGGUUUUGUCAAAUCGGGGGGUCUUUGAAGGAGGACGAUCAAAUGGCGACGGCGACACAAGGGCAAACGACGACGAUGGACACCGCGUUGUUAGAUGAUAUAAUCAGACGGCUGACGGAAGUCAGAUUAGCCAGGCCAGGAAAACAGGUGCAACUUUCUGAGAAUGAGAUCAAACAACUUUGUGUUGCUGCCAAAGAUAUCUUCCUUCAACAGCCCAAUUUGCUUGAACUCGAAGCCCCCAUCAAAAUAUGCGGUGACAUACAUGGGCAAUUUAGUGAUUUGUUGAGGCUAUUCGAGUAUGGGGGUUUUCCACCUCAUGCGAAUUAUCUAUUCCUAGGCGACUAUGUGGAUCGUGGCAAGCAGAGUUUGGAAACGAUAUGUCUCCUACUUGCUUAUAAGAUUAAGUAUCCAGAGAACUUUUUCAUAUUGCGAGGAAACCAUGAAUGUGCAUCUAUUAAUCGGAUAUACGGAUUUUAUGAUGAAUGCAAGCGUCGAUUUAAUGUGAGACUUUGGAAAAGCUUUACUGAUUGUUUUAACUGCCUUCCUGUUGCGGCUCUUAUAGAUGACAAAAUAUUGUGUAUGCAUGGUGGUCUUUCCCCGGACUUGACGAACCUAGAUGAAAUCAGACACUUAUAUCGUCCUACAGCCAUUCCUGACACUGGCUUGCUGUGUGAUUUGCUCUGGUCUGAUCCUGAUAGAGAUGUUAGAGGAUGGGGAAUGAAUGACAGAGGAGUUUCUUUCACUUUUGGGGCAGACAAAGUGGCAGAAUUCUUAGAGAAACAUGAUUUAGAUCUUGUCUGUCGUGCGCACCAGGUUGUAGAGGAUGGUUAUGAAUUCUUUGCCGAUAGGCAACUUGUUACAAUAUUUUCAGCACCUAACUACUGUGGUGAAUUUGAUAAUGCUGGUGCAAUGAUGAGUGUCGAUGAAAACUUGAUGUGUUCUUUCCAGAUUCUCAAGCCAGCUGAGAAAAAAGCAAAGCUCAUGUCCACUAAAAUAUGACGAUUGCAGCUAUCAUUGAAUAGCGGCUUACAAUUCACGACCAAGAUAUACCAUAGCAAAGAUGUGUAUGAGUAAGAAUAGUACUUGACGUCCUUAUUGAUCCAUAAUGAUUGUUACUUCCCUCUGGCUUUCUUUUAGAAGUUUUCAUGAUUUUCAGAUGUCCUUUUUAUAUCUUUCCGCACUGACAAUGGUUGAAAUUGAAAACCACUUGCUUCAGAACUUCAGGUACUGAAGAGGCAAUUGACCACUUCAUGGAUACAUUUUGUAUGGUAAAAAGCUUUGCAAGUUUUGUGUAGGGUAGCAUAAGCGAAAAACAUAUUUCUCUUAUUCUUCUCCUCACCCCUGCAACCUGGUUUAUCCUUUUUAUAUGUAGCAGUCAAUCUGUAUAUGUAGAUGAUAUAUCUCGUUUGGCAGCUCGUAAUUGUGCUUUUGAGUUGCUGGAAUGAAAAAGAUUGGCCGCUGCUGUCUUCUAAAGAUAUUUGGCUUUUUGCCAGACUAUUCACUGAUUGAGAUGUUUGUAGGUGCAUUCAAAUGUUAUGGGAUUGUUAGUUGCAAUUAAGGUCUAUUUAUUCACAUGUACUAUUAAUUUCUUUCAAAGAUUUGUCU